rnacentral:rRNA from 1 species
UACGUAGGUGGCAAGCGUUGUCCGGAUUUACUGGGCGUAAAGGAUGUGUAGGCGGUCUUUUAAGUCUGAUGUGAAAGCCCCCGGCUUAACCGGGGAGGGUCAUUGGAAACUGGGAGACUUGAGUGCAGAAGAGGAAAGCGGAAUUCCAUGUGUAGCGGUGAAAUGCGUAGAUAUAUGGAGGAACACCAGUGGCGAAGGCGGCUUUCUGGUCUGUAACUGACGCUGAGGCUCGAAAGCGUGGGGAGCAAACAGGAUUAGAUACCCUGGUAGUCCACGCCGUAAACGAUGAGUGCUAAGUGUUGGAGGGUUUCCGCCCUUCAGUGCUGCAGCAGACGCAUUAAGCACUCCGCCUGGGGAGUACGACCGCAAGGUUGAA